GACGAACGCUGGCGGCGUGCUUAACACAUGCAAGUCGAACGGAAAGGCCCUGCUUGCAGGGUACUCGAGUGGCGAACGGGUGAGUAACACGUUGGUGAUCUGCCCUGCACUUCGGGAUAAGCCUGGGAAACUGGGUCUAAUACCGGAUAGGAGCCAUUUUUAGUGUGAUGGUUGGAAAGUUUUUUCGGUGUAGGAUGAGCUCGCGGCCUAUCAGCUUGUUGGUGGGGUAAUGGCCUACAAAGGCGGCGACGGGUAGCCGGCCUGAGAGGGUGGACGGGCAAAUGGGGACUGGGAGACGGCCCAGAAUACUACGGGAGGCAGCAGUGGGGAAUAUUGCACAAUGGGAGCAAGCCUGAUGCAGAGACGCCGCGUGGGGGAUGACGGCCUUCGGGUUGUAAACUCCUUUCGCUAGGGACGAAGCUUUUGUGACGGUACCUAGAUAAGAAGCACCGGCUAACUACGUG
rnacentral:rRNA from 1 species